rnacentral:rRNA from 1 species
AAAAAAGGUAAGCUACUAAGAGCGAAUGGUGGAUGCCUUGACUGGUAAAGGCGAUGAAGGACGUACUAGACUGCGAUAAGCUACGGGGAGCUGUCAAGAAGCUUUGAUCCGUAGAUUUCCGAAUGGGGCAACCCAAUGUAUAGAGAUAUACAUUACCUAUAUAGGAGCGAACGAGGGGAAUUGAAACAUCUUAGUACCCUCAGGAAAAGAAAUCAAUAGAGAUUGCGUCAGUAGCGGCGAGCGAAAGCGCAAGAGGGCAAACCCAGUGCUUGCACUGGGGGUUGUAGGACUGCAAUGUGCAAGAGGUAAGUUUAGCAGAACAUUCUGGAAAGUAUAACCAUAGAGGGUGAUAGUCCCGUAUGCGAAAAACAAACCUUAGCUAGCAGUAUCCUGAGUAGGGCGGGACACGAGGAAUCCUGUCUGAAUCUGGGUCGACCACGAUCCAACCCUAAAUACUAAUACCAGAUCGAUAGUGCACAAGUACCGUGAGGGAAAGGUGAAAAGAACUGAGGUGAUCAGAGUGAAAUAGAACCUGAAACCAUUUGCUUACAAUCAUUCAGAGCCCUAUGUAGCAAUACAGGGUGAUGGACUGCCUUUUGCAUAAUGAGCCUGCGAGUUGUGGUGUCUGGCAAGGUUAAGCAAACGCGAAGCCGUAGCGAAAGCGAGUCUGAAUAGGGCGCUUAGUCAGAUGCUGCAGACCCGAAACGAAGUGAUCUAUCCAUGAGCAAGUUGAAGCUAGUGUAAGAACUAGUGGAGGACUGAACCCAUAGGCGUUGAAAAGCCCCGGGAUGACUUGUGGAUAGGGGUGAAAGGCCAAUCAAACUUCGUGAUAGCUGGUUCUCUCCGAAAUAUAUUUAGGUAUAGCGUUGUGUCGUAAUAUAAGGGGGUAGAGCACUGAAUGGGCUAGGGCAUACACCAAUGUACCAAACCCUAUCAAACUCCGAAUACCUUAUAUGUAAUCACAGCAGUCAGGCGGCGAGUGAUAAAAUCCGUCGUCAAGAGGGAAACAACCCAGACUACCAGCUAAGGUCCCUAAAUCUUACUUAAGUGGAAAACGAUGUGAAGUUACUUAAACAACCAGGAGGUUGGCUUAGAAGCAGCCAUCCUUUAAAGAAAGCGUAAUAGCUCACUGGUCUAGUGAUUUUGCGCGGAAAAUAUAACGGGGCUAAAGUAAGUACCGAAGCUGUAGACUUGCGCACAACUUAGAUUAUUUAAGUUUAGAAUAUGAGAAACUAAGUUAUAUGUUUAGUUAUAUUUUUACUGAUUUUUAUAGAGUAAAGAUAGAAAUAAAACUUAGUAAAAUCAGUAAAAAUAUUCUUAGACUAAAGUUAAGUAGUUUAAGUUGUGUGCAAGUGGUAGGAGAGCGUUCUAUUUGCGUCGAAGGUAUACCGGUAAGGAGUGCUGGAGCGAAUAGAAGUGAGCAUGCAGGCAUGAGUAGCGAUAAUUAAUGUGAGAAUCAUUAACGCCGUAAACCCAAGGUUUCCUACGCGAUGCUCGUCAUCGUAGGGUUAGUCGGGUCCUAAGUCGAGUCCGAAAGGGGUAGACGAUGGCAAAUUGGUUAAUAUUCCAAUACCAACAUUAGUGUGCGAUGGAAGGACGCUUAGGGCUAAGGGGGCUAGCGGAUGGAAGUGCUAGUCUAAGGUCGUAGGAGGUUAUACAGGCAAAUCCGUAUAACAAUACUCCGAGAACUGAAAGGCUUUUUGAAGUCUUCGGAUGGAUAGAAGAACCCCUGAUGCCGUCGAGCCAAGAAAAGUUUCUAAGUUUAGCUAAUGUUGCCCGUACCGUAAACCGACACAGGUGGGUGGGAUGAGUAUUCUAAGGCGCGUGGAAGAACUCUCUUUAAGGAACUCUGCAAAAUAGCACCGUAUCUUCGGUAUAAGGUGUGGUUCGCUUCGUAUUAGGAUUUACUCCGAAAGCGAAGAAACUUACAACAAAGAGUCCCUCCCGACUGUUUACCAAAAACACAGCACUCUGCUAACUCGUAAGAGGAUGUAUAGGGUGUGACGCCUGCCCGGUGCUCGAAGGUUAAUUGAUGGGGUUAGCAUUAGCGAAGCUCUUGAUCGAAGCCCGAGUAAACGGCGGCCGUAACUAUAACGGUCCUAAGGUAGCGAAAUUCCUUGUCGGUUAAAUACCGACCUGCAUGAAUGGCGUAACGAGAUGGGAGCUGUCUCAAAGAGGGAUCCAGUGAAAUUGUAGUGGAGGUGAAAAUUCC